rnacentral:rRNA from 1 species
AACGAACGCUGGCGGCAUGCCUAACACAUGCAAGUCGAACGAGACCUUCGGGUCUAGUGGCGCACGGGUGCGUAACGCGUGGGAACCUGCCCUUAGGUUCGGAAUAACUCCCCGAAAGGGGUGCUAAUACCGGAUAAUGUCUUCGGACCAAAGAUUUAUCGCCUUUGGAUGGGCCCGCGUUGGAUUAGCUAGUUGGUAGGAUAAAAGCCUACCAAGGCGACGAUCCAUAGCUGGUCUGAGAGGAUGAUCAGCCACACUGGGACUGAGACACGGCCCAGACUCCUACGGGAGGCAGCAGUGGGGAAUAUUGGACAAUGGGCGAAAGCCUGAUCCAGCAAGGCCGCGUGAGUGAUGAAGGCCUUAGGGUUGUAAAGCUCUUUUACCCGGGAUGAUAAUGACAGAACCGGGAGAAUAAGCUCCGGCUAACUCCGU